UCGAGAAUCUUCGGCAAUGAGCGCAAGCUUGACCGAGCGACGCCGCGUGCGGGAUGAAGGCCUUCGGGUUGUAAACCGCUUUGGUCCGAAAGAAAGGGUAAAACUUGAUCGAUCGGAGAAACAAGGACGGGCUAAGUUCGUGCCAGCAGCCGCGGUAAGACGAACCGUCCAAACGUUAUUCGGAAUCACUGGGCUUAAAGGGCGCGUAGGCGGCCGAGCGGGUCGUGGGUGAAAUCCUCCAGCUUAACUGGAGAACUGCUUACGAUACCACUGCGGCUCGAGGAAGGAAGGGGUCAUGGGAACUGUCGGUGGAGCGGUGAAAUGCGUUGAUAUCGACAGGAACGCCUGUGGCGAAAGCGCAUGACUGGUCCUUUUCUGACGCUGAGGCGCGAAAGCCAGGGGAGCAAACGGGAUUAGAUACCCCGGUAGUCCCUGAGCGGGCUGGCAAGGCGCAU
rnacentral:rRNA from 1 species